AGAGUUUGAUCAUGGCUCAGAGUGAACGCUGGCGGCGUGCUUAACACAUGCAAGUCGAACGAUGAAGUCCUUCGGGAUGGAUUAGUGGCGCACGGGUGAGUAAUAUAUAGUUAAUGUACCCCAAAGACCGGGAUAGCCACUGGAAACGGUGAUUAAUACUGGAUACACCUUUCAAUCAUAUGGUUGAAAGGGAAAUGUUUUUCGCUUUGGGAUCAGACUAUAUCCUAUCAGUUAGUUGGUGAGGUAAGAGCUCACCAAGACGAUGACGGGUAGCGGGUUUGAGAGGAUGAUCCGCCACACUGGUACUGAGACACGGACCAGACUCCUACGGGAGGCAGCAGUGAGGAAUAUUGCACAAUGGGGGAAACCCUGAUGCAGCAACGCCGCGUGGAGGAUGACGCAUUUCGGUGUGUAAACUCCUUUUAUUAGGGAAGAUAAUGACGGUACCUAAUGAAUAAGCACCGGCUAACUCCGUGCCAGCAGCCGCGGUAAUACGGAGGGUGCAAGCGUUACUCGGAAUCACUGGGCGUAAAGGACGCGUAGGCGGGUUGCCAAGUCAGGUGUGAAAUCCUACAGCUUAACUGUAGAACUGCACUUGAAACUGGUAACCUAGAGUAUGGGAGGGGGAGAUGGAAUUAGUGGUGUAGGGGUAAAAUCCGUAGAUAUCACUAGGAAUACCGAAAGCGAAGGCGAUCUCCUGGAACAUAACUGACGCUAAGGCGUGAAAGCGUGGGGAGCAAACAGGAUUAGAUACCCUAGUAGUCC
rnacentral:rRNA from 1 species